GAUGAAGAACGUAGCGAAAUGCGAUACUUGGUGUGAAUUGCAGAAUCCCGUGAACCAUCGAGUCUUUGAACGCAAGUUGCGCCCGAAGCCAUCAGGUUGAGGGCACGUCUGCCUGGGCGUCACAUAUCGUUGCCCAAUGCCUAUUGCAGUGCAAUAGGAAUUUCUAGGGCGAAUGAUGGCUUCCCGUGAGCGUUGUUGCCUCGCGGUUGGUUGAAAAUCGAGUCCUUGGUAGGGUGUGCCAUGGUAGAUGGUGGUCGAGUUAGAACGAUACCGAUCAUGUGCAUGCUCCCCAAAAUAUGGCCUCUAUGACCCACACGCGUCUUUUGACGCUCAUGACGAGACCUCAGGUCAGGCGGGGCUACCCGCUGAGUUUAAGCAUAUCAAUAAGCGGAGGA
rnacentral:misc_RNA from 1 species